CCUACGGGAGGCAGCAGUGAGGAAUAUUGGUCAAUGGCCGGAAGGCUGAACCAGCCAAGCCGCGUGAAGGACGAAGGUGCCAAGCAUUGUAAACUUCUUUUGUCAAGGGACAAAAUCAGGCUCGAGAGCCUGACCGAGGGUACUUGAAGAAAAAGCAUCGGCUAACUCCGUGCCAGCAGCCGCGGUAAUACGGAGGAUGCAAGCGUUAUCCGGAUUUAUUGGGUGUAAAGGGAACGUAGGCGGUCUUUUAAGUCUGAUGUGAAAGCCUUCGGCUUAACCGGAGUAGUGCAUUGGAAACUGGGAGACUUGAGUGCGCGAAGGGUAGGCGGAAUGUGUGGUGUAGCGGUGAAAUGCAUAGAUAUCGCGCAGAACUCCGAUCGCGAAGGCAGCCUACCGGCGCGCAACUGACGCUCAUGCACGAAAGCGUGGGUAUCGAACAGGAUUAGAUACCCCAGUAGUC
rnacentral:rRNA from 1 species